rnacentral:snRNA from 1 species
GUGCUCUCUCUGGCAGCACAUAUACUAAAAUCGGAAUGAUAGAGAGUAGCAUGGCCCCUGUGAAAGGAUGACAUGCAAAUUCAUGAAGUGUUCCUAUUUUAA